GAAUAAACUGCUUGAAGAAGAUCUUCCUGCGUUGCAUCAUUCCUUGCUGGCCCUGUCCACCAGUGCAGCCACCGUCCGGGCACCAAGCCACUCUAGUCACCCACCAAGACCCAGUCCUCUUUUCUGAGGCAGAACCACCAGGUCUCCUGGAAGAACUGAAUUAUCCUGUCGGGAAGGCAAAACGGUGAGAAUCACAUCUGCAGUUUUUGGAGCACACAGGGCCUUCCCAGGAGCGGAGAUAACAGAUAAGUAGAUGUGUUGAGAAAGCGAGAAGGGAAGAUUACUCCUAGCUCCCCCAUUCUCAGUUAAAUAGCUUCAGAUUCUGUAAUCACACUUAAUUUUUCCCAGAUGGAUGUCAGGGCUGCAGGAGGAAAUCGCCCAGGCUCUGUACCCGAGUGGAGGCAGGGGAGUGGAGCACUGCUGGCUGGCAUCGGACCUCUGGAGAAGGAGAAACAGGAGUGAGCUGGACCCUGAGCUACCAGGGGUAGGGCUCGCAGUUCUCGUCCGUCCGUCUCUUCCAAACCUAUCCCAGCUUGCCCUGACUCUGAGGGUCAAUGGUCUUGCAAAGUACUGCCCACUGCUGGUAGUUUACACCGUAUGUGACUAAUUUUGAGUAUCAUUCUAGUGAGAGGAUGUUUGUAUGCACAAAUGAGGAGGCGUGACAAACCGACAACGAGGGGUGUCUAAACCCAUACACCCAUAUUAACAUAUCUAAAGAGGGAGCCCUGGCUUCUGAGUGGGGACUGCCAGUGAACAUAUGGACAUGGGAAGAAGAGCACAGAGGGCAGGGCUGGCCCAGCCCUGUAGACUUAGUUUGGAAUCAAACAGAGAUGCCUUCUGCUUUGUGUUGUGUUGUUGCAUUUGGCCAACACUUGAGCU